GAUGAACGCUAGCGGCAGGCUUAACACAUGCAAGUCGAGGGGCAGCGCGGGGGCAACCCUGGCGGCGAGCGGCGAACGGGUGAGUAAUGCAUCGGAACGUACCCUGGAGUGGGGGAUAACGCCGCGAAAGCGGCGCUAAUACCGCAUAUGCUCUGAGGAGGAAAGUGGGGGACCGCAAGGCCUCACGCUCUGGGAGCGGCCGAUGUCCGAUUAGCUAGUUGGUGAGGUAAAGGCUUACCAAGGCGACGAUCGGUAGCUGGUCUGAGAGGAUGAUCAGCCACACUGGGACUGAGACACGGCCCAGACUCCUACGGGAGGCAGCAGUGGGGAAUUUUGGGACAAUGGGGGCAACCCUGAUCCAGCCAUGCCGCGUGAGUGAAGAAGGCCUCGGG
rnacentral:rRNA from 1 species